GACCGCGUAGCUCAGUUGGCAGAGCAUUGGGCUAGUAUUCCAAAGGUCGUAGGUUCGAUUCCGACCAUGGUCA